CUGGCAACUUGUUCCGAUUCACACCCGAGUUCAAUUGAUGUAUCCUUUCAUUCACAAUGUUGCACCAUCACCU
rnacentral:ribozyme from 1 species